AUUGAACGCUAGCGGGAUGCCUUACACAUGCAAGUCGAACGGAGUGGCGAACGGGUGAGUAAUUUAUCGGAACGUGCCCAGUAGCGGGGGAUAACUACGCUAAAGCGUAGCUAAUACCGCAUACUAUUUGAGCGGCCGAUAUCGGAUUGUCCAGUUGGUAGGGUAACGGCUCAGCAAGGCGACGAUCCGAAGCUGGCUUGAGAGGACGACCAGCCACACGGGAACUGGGACACGGCCCGAACUCCUACGGGAGGCGGCAGUGGGGAAUUUUGGACAAUGGGGGAAACCCUGAUCAAGCCAUCCCGCGUGUGCGAUGAAGGCCUUCGGGUGGUAAAGCACUUUUGGCAGGAAAGCGGUACCUGCAGAAGAAGCACCGGCUAACUACGUGCCAGCAGCCGCGGUAAUUC
rnacentral:rRNA from 1 species